UCCACUUCGUCCAGUUACCGUCUUACUCGUCCUAGCUGUCUCUUAGCUUGUAUAAGGUUAAGUCUAAGUUUCCUUAUGUCCUUAACCUUCUUUCUCGACCAUGGAACGCUUGCCUUGAUGUCCUAAGACUGGCUUGCACGUUUCCUCGAACCAUGGCCGUCCCGACAAUCCUAUUCAGGAUUGGGGGCGUGACAAGUAUCCCCCCCUUGGGAUGGAUUCUUCCUCGAAUCCGAAUCAAAUGCUUCCUCGGAAACAAACUGAUCCAACCACUCGGGGUACUCUGCUUUCAUUCAAGCUUCGGUUUCCCAAGUGAUUAUAUCCUGACCAUUACAGUCCCAGACGACCUUGACCAUCUGGACCGUCUUCUUCCUUCUUGCUUUUUCCAUCCUAUCUAUGAUUCGAACUGGCCUCGUUUCCAAGGUUAGGUUCUUAGCAAGAUCGUCUGGAACGGGAGGAAGAGCGAUGUCUUGGUCCGUCAGACAUUUCCGAAGUUGGGAGACGUGGAACACAUUAUGAAAUGCGUCCAUCUUGGCCGGCAUGUAGAAACCCGUUAAUAAAAAAAAAAUAAAAAAAAUAAAAAAGAAAAGGAGAGAUAAUGGUCGAGAAGUUUUGAAGUACGAAGUGGGCGAAGAAGUGAUCGUGAGUUAACUAUGAGUCGAAUAAGUUGCUCGACCAUAGUUAGAAGAUGUCUUAGAUUGAUGGGACGGACGUUUUCGAAGCAUAACAUUUUUGGAAGCACGACGGUUUAGAAGCUCGACGUUUUGGAAGAAUGACGUUUCUUCAGCACGAAGUUUUCCGCAAAACUUCGUAUCAGCGGAAUAAUAUUUCGAAGACAUUGGAAACCUGAUGAGAAUUAAGCACGACAGGAAGCAAGCACGACGGGAAGCAAGCACGACGGAAUCGAAGCACGACGGGAAACCCCAAAAUUGGACGAAAACCCUAAUUUAGUUAUUAUGAAAUUUUUCGAGGAAGCCGGAGGCUCAGGACAUAUUUUCCCUCAACUUCAGAGAUCAAGUGGACUUUAUUAAAAUUGUUCUGAGCAUCAGAAAGGGUGUAGAAAAAUAUUUGGGAUUGAUCGCGGGACGAAAAUU
rnacentral:lncRNA from 1 species